AAGGAGCCUGAGAAACGGCUACUACAUCCAAGGAAGGCAGCAGGCGCGCAAAUUACCCAAUCCCGACACGGGGAGGUAGUGACAAUAAAUACUGAUACAGGGCUCUUUCGGGUCUUGUAAUUGGAAUGAGUACAAUUUAAAUCCCUUAACGAGGAACAAUUGGAGGGCAAGUCUGGUGCCAGCAGCCGCGGUAAUUCCAGCUCCAAUAGCGUAUAUUAAAGUUGUUGAGGUUAAAAAGCUCGUAGUUGAACCUUGGGCCUAGCCGGCCGGUCCGCCUCACCGCGUGCACUGGCUCGGCUGGGUCUUUCCUUCUGGAGAACCGCAUGCCCUUCACUGGGUGUGCCGGGGAACCAGGACUUUUACUCUGAACAAAUUAGAUCGCUUAAAGAAGGCCUAUGCUCGAAUACAUUAGCAUGGAAUAAUAGAAUAGGACGUGUGGUUCUAUUUUGUUGGUUUCUAGGACCGCCGUAAUGAUUAAUAGGGACAGUCGGGGGCAUCAGUAUUCAAUUGUCAGAGGUGAAAUUCUUGGAUUUAUUGAAGACUAACUACUGCGAAAGCAUUUGCCAAGGAUGUUUUCAUUAAUCAGGAACGAAAGUUAGGGGAUCGAAGACGAUCAGAUACCGUCGUAGUCUUAACCAUAAACUAUGCCGAUUAGGGAUCGGACGGCGUUAUUUUUUGACCCGUU
rnacentral:rRNA from 1 species